AACGAACGCUGGCGGCAUGCCUAACACAUGCAAGUCGAACGAGACCUUCGGGUCUAGUGGCGCACGGGUGCGUAAUGCGUGGGAAUCUGCCCUUGGGUUCGGAAUAACAGUUAGAAAUGACUGCUAAUACCGGAUGAUGUCUUCGGACCAAAGAUUUAUCGCCCAGGGAUGAGCCCGCGUAGGAUUAGCUAGUUGGUGGGGUAAAGGCCUACCAAGGCGACGAUCCUUAGCUGGUCUGAGAGGAUGAUCAGCCACACUGGGACUGAGACACGGCCCAGACUCCUACGGGAGGCAGCAGUGGGGAAUAUUGGACAAUGGCGAAAGCCUGAUCCAGCAAUGCCGCGUGAGUGAUGAAGGCCUUAGGGUUGUAAAGCUCUUUUACCCGGGAUGAUAAUGACAGUACCGGGAGAAUAAGCCCCGGCUAACUCCGUGCCAGCAGCCGCGGUAA
rnacentral:rRNA from 1 species